rnacentral:rRNA from 1 species
ACGCGAAGAACCUUACCUGGGCUUGACAUGCACGGGAAAGCCGGUGGAAACACUGGCCCCUCUUCGGAGUCCGUGCACAGGUGCUGCAUGGCUGUCGUCAGCUCGUGUCGUGAGGUGUUGGGUUAAGUCCCGCAACGAGCGCAACCCCUAUUCUCAGUUGCCAGCACAUAAUGGUGGGCACUCUGUGGAGACUGCCCGGGUUAACCGGGAGGAAGGUGGGGAUGACGUCAAGUCAGCAUGGCCUUUAUGUCCGGGGCUACACACGUGCUACAAUGUCCAGUACAAUGUGAACCAAUACCGUGAGGUGGAGGAAAUCGUCAAAACUGGGCUCAGUUCGGAUUGUAGGCUGCAACUCGCCUACAUGAAGUUGGAAUCGCUACUAAUGCUGCAUCAGCUACGGCAGCGUGAAUACGUUCCCGGGUCUUGUACACACGC